ACCCACCCAUCCAUCCAUCUAACUAUCCACUCAUCCACCCAUCCAUCUCUCCAUCCAUCCAACAAUAACUAUUUCUAAGCACCUGUUAGGUGGCAGACACUAUACUGGGCACCAGGAAUGAUACAGUGAAUGAAACAAUGUCCCCGUCUUCAUGGAGCUGACUUUUUAGUGUGGACACAACCAAAACUCAGAUAAUGUAAUGCACAAGUCCCACGUGGGCAUUCUACUGUAAGUCCCUCAUGAUGAAACCCAAAACAGGGCAAGGGGUAUGCUCUUUUAGAUAAGGCCCAAAGGGAAGGCUUCCAAGGAAAUCGCACUUCAGUAAAGACCUACCUGAAGUGAAGGAGGAAGCCGUGUGAAUAUCUGGGGAAGAGCACGCCAGGCAGGGAGAAGAGAGGUGCAGAGGCCCUGAGGCAGGAACGGGCCAGCGCGUUAGCAAUAGGAAGAGCCCAGCGAGAUGGGAACAAAGGAAGUCAGCAAUGAAUGACGACAGCUUCAAGAGCUGACUCUUCUAGGGUUUUAAAAAAAUUUCUUAAGCUGACAUUUAUUAAGAGCUUACAAAAUAUCAGACUUUUUGUUUAAGGAGUUUAAAUAUAUUAACUCAUUUAUUUCUCACAAAAAAAAUUAGGUAGGUAUUAUUAUCUCUAUUUUAUACAUGAAGAAACUGAGGCACAGAAAGAUAAACAGCUUGUCCAGCACACAGCUAGUAAGUCAUGGAGCCCAGACUCACACUCCGGGCACACUGCAAAACUGCUACGCUGUUGGUGCCUCAGGACCUCCCCUUGGGAUAGAGCCGUGACAACCCCACCGCCCCUUGCAUCGUCUCCCCAGCACUGCAAGGAGCAGCCAGUAGUCAUUCACUCACUUGACACAGUGGAGGGGGUCGCUGACCUCACCAUAUGCGCAAGGGUGCUGGGUCCUGGGAGGAGAUGGGGAGGAAGACAGCAGCUGGGAAGACAGGAGCGUGCAGAGGCCGUGACAGGGGCUGCAGCCACAAGAGAAGCACAGGGUGUCGAGAGGACACAGAGCAGGACCUUCCUAGAGAAAGGUGACCUGGAGCCAGGUCACCCCAUGCCCCAGGACAGCCUUUCUCCCACCUCCUCUCUCAUGCAGACAACCUCGUAUGCAGUGAACCUUGCUGCUGACGUGCCCAUCAGUACGUACCAGUUGCCAAUAAAGCCACUUCUGACUGUCCGCUACUCACUACCCACUAUUAUUCUCCUUCCCAAAUGUGCCUGCUUGCUCCUACCUGCACACCGGCCCCACCCCGCUGGGCAGCAGGUGUUGGAGCAGCUAAGAGGAGGCCCCCUCCCCAGAGCAGAGGAGCCCUGGAGGCCUCGGAAGUUCGGCUCUAGUCCCUGAUGGGGAGUGGAUUUUGGAUGCCACAGCACCUUCUGCAACCCCCUGAGGUCGCAGCAGGAGGGCAGCUGUGGCAGGGUGACAGCUGAGGGGCUGGGGAGGCCAUGCCUACUCAUCAAGCUAGUCCUGGAAGCGAGACAAGCAGGCAGGAAGGAGCCUCCGGGCCUUGGACGCACAAGAAAGGGAAGACAGGCAGCAGGGCCAGGAGAACCCUCAGCGUGGCCAGCCCAGGGCUGCUGUGCCAACAGUGAGCUCGGGGCACUGCAGCCACGGCCCUGGUCCUUGCUUUCUUCCUCAGAGGGAAACACAGGCCAAGCUCCUACGCAUCAACUCUUGAAGAUGGAGGAUCAAUUCCAUUCCUGCUUUGCCACCCGGCCUCUCUGUGACCUCGGACAACUUGCUCAACAUCUCUGUGCCUUGGUUGCUACAGCUCUUGAAUGGCAAUAAAAGACCUCUAUUAUAAAGUUCCUGAGAGGAUUAAACAAAAACAUGCAUGUGAAACGUCAAGGCCUGGUGUUCAGGCUCAUAAGCACUCAGUAAAUUGUUGUGGUUAUUAUUUUUAUUAUUAAUACCAGUCAGUCAAUACGUGUUCUUGGUUAAGAUUUUCUUGAUU
ensembl:lncRNA